GACGAACGCUGGCGGCGUGCUUAACACAUGCAAGUCGAACGGAAAGGCCCUGCUUUUGUGGGGUGCUCGAGUGGCGAACGGGUGAGUAACACGUGAGUAACCUGCCCUUGACUUUGGGAUAACUUCAGGAAACUGGGGCUAAUACCGGAUAGGAGCUCCUGCUGCAUGGUGGGGGUUGGAAAGUUUCGGCGGUUGGGGAUGGACUCGCGGCUUAUCAGCUUGUUGGUGGGGUAGUGGCUUACCAAGGCUUUGACGGGUAGCCGGCCUGAGAGGGUGACCGGCCACAUUGGGACUGAGAUACGGCCCAGACUCCUACGGGAGGCAGCAGUGGGGAAUACUGCACAAUGGGCGGAAGCCUGAUGCAGCAACGCCGCGUGCGGGAUGACGGCCUUCGGGUUGUAAACCGCUUUCGCCUGUGACGAAGCGUGAGUGACGGUAAUGGGUAAAGAAGCACCGGCUAACUACGUGCCAGCAGCCGCGGUGAUACGUAGGGUGCGAGCGUUGUCCGGAUUUAUUGGGCGUAAAGGGCUCGUAGGUGGUUGAUCGCGUCGGAAGUGUAAUCUUGGGGCUUAACCCUGAGCGUGCUUUCGAUACGGGUUGACUUGAGGAAGGUAGGGGAGAAUGGAAUUCCUGGUGGAGCGGUGGAAUGCGCAGAUAUCAGGAGGAACACCAGUGGCGAAGGCGGUUCUCUGGGCCUUUCCUGACGCUGAGGAGCGAAAGCGUGGGGAGCGAACAGGCUUAGAUACCCUGGUAGUCCACGCUGUAAACGGUGGGUACUAGGUGUGGGGUCCAUUCCACGGGUUCCGUGCCGUAGCUAACGCUUUAAGUACCCCGCCUGGGGAGUACGGCCGCAAGGCUAAAACUCAAAGGAAUUGACGGGGCCCCGCACAAGCGGCGGAGCAUGCGGAUUAAUUCGAUGCAACGCGUAGAACCUUACCUGGGUUUGACAUGGAUCGGGAGUGCUCAGAGAUGGGUGUGCCUCUUUUGGGGUCGGUUCACAGGUGGUGCAUGGCUGUCGUCAGCUCGUGUCGUGAGAUGUUGGGUUAAGUCCCGCAACGAGCGCAACCCUUGUUCACUGUUGCCAGCACGUUAUGGUGGGGACUCAGUGGAGACCGCCGGGGUCAACUCGGAGGAAGGUGGGGAUGACGUCAAGUCAUCAUGCCCCUUAUGUCCAGGGCUUCACGCAUGCUACAAUGGCUGGUACAGAGAGUGGCGAGCCUGUGAGGGUGAGCGAAUCUCGGAAAGCCGGUCUCGGUUCGGAUUGGGGUCUGCAACUCGACCUCAUGAAGUCGGAGUCGCUAGUAAUCGCAGAUCAGCAACGCUGCGGUGAAUACGUUCCCGGGGCU
rnacentral:rRNA from 1 species